rnacentral:tRNA from 1 species
GGGGGUAUAGCUCAGUGGUAGAACCCACAAGGUCCUGGGUUCAAUCCCCAGCGCCUCCA